UACGUAGGGUGCAAGCGUUGUCCGGAAUUAUUGGGCGUAAAGAGCUCGUAGGCGGGCUACCAAGUCUGUGGUGAAAUCCUCCGGCUCAACCGGAGAACUGCCGUGGAUACUGGGAGCCUCGAGGGAGAUAGGGGCGUGCGGAACUGAUGGUGGAGCGGUGAAAUGCGUUGAUAUCAUCAGGAACUCCGGUGGCGAAGGCGGCACGCUGGAUCUCAUCUGACGCUGAUGCGCGAAAGCCAGGGGAGCAAACGGG
rnacentral:rRNA from 1 species